AUAGGCCAGUGUUGGGGGGCGGGGGUUGCUUGUGCAUUGCUACAGCGCAAGGGACCAGCCACGUAGGAAGAUGAAAGAUUCCCGACUUCUCCCUAUCAUGUAUAAGAUGGAUCUUUACCUCCUCUCCCCCAUGUUGGAGAAUUCGGACACACAAGUGUUAUAUUUUGUAGUCUGUAUCAAGCAAAAGCAAGGGUAAACCCCGUCAUCCAUCCAUUCUGCAGCUGAUUUCGGCGAUGGAAGCUGUACCUAGUGUAUGUGUAUCUUCCCGUAAAAGAUGUUUUCGAAUGGAUACGCAGUAGCUAUUGGCAGAAUCAUCCUUGACAUAAUAACUAACUAUAUCGACGAAUAGAAUUAAAAGGAAA
rnacentral:sRNA from 2 species